GGGAUUGCCCUAGUAACGGCGAGUGAAGCGGCAACAGCUCAAAUUUGAAAUCUGGCCCUAGGCCCGAGUUGUAAUUUGCAGAGGAUGCUUUUGGCGAAGUGCUUACCGAGUCCCCUGGAAUGGGGCGCCACAGAGGGUGAGAGCCCCGUAUGGUUUGCCACUGAACCUUUGUAAAGCUCCUUCGACGAGUCGAGUAGUUUGGGAAUGCUGCUCUAAAUGGGAGGUAAAUUUCUUCUAAAGCUAAAUACCGGCCAGAGACCGAUAGCGCACAAGUAGAGUGAUCGAAAGAUGAAAAGCACUUUGAAAAGAGGGUUAAAUAGCACGUGAAAUUGUUGAAAGGGAAGCGCUCGUGACCAGACUUGCGCCCGGCGGAUCAUCCAGCGUUCUCGCUGGUGCACUCCGCCGGGCUCAGGCCAGCAUCGGUUUUCGCCGGGGGACAAAGGCUUCGGGAACGUGGCUCUCUUCGGGGAGUGUUAUAGCCCGUUGCGUAAUACCCCGGCGGGGACCGAGGACCGCGCUUCGGCAAGGAUGCUGGCGUAAUGGUCAUCAGCGACCCGUCUUGAAACACGGACCGAGGAGUCAAGCAUUAGUGCGAGUGUUUGGGUGUAAAACCCGCACGCGUAAUGAAAGUGAACGUAGGUGAGAGCUUCGGCGCAUCAUCGACCGAUCCUGAUGUUUUCGGAUGGAUUUGAGUAGGAGCAUUAACGCUUGGACCCGAAAGAUGGUGAACUAUACUUGAAUAGGGUGAAGCCAGAGGAAACUCUGGUGGAGGCUCGCAGCGGUUCUGACGUGCAAAUCGAUCGUCAAAUUUG
rnacentral:rRNA from 1 species